AGGUGAUUUUAGGGCUCCGUCGCCCUCUUUCUCCCCCCACCGCGAGCAGUGCCGCCCUCUCCUCCCUUCCCCUUCCCCUCCUGUUUCCUUUCUCCUCCUCCUUUCCCCCUCCUCCCCAGUCGCCUGUGUUGCCUCCACCACCGGCGUCCUCGUCGCUCGCCUCCCCCAGCAAGGCCGCAGUCACCGCGGUCGCCGCUCCCUCUUCCUCACGAUCGAAGAUUGGAGCCCUUUGGCCCCGCUCCACCCUCGGCGAGGAGGGGGGGGCGAUGAGGGUGCUUGCCACAAGCUGCGAGGACACCAGAUGCGGAGGUAGCGUGGGCGACGAGGGAGGAGGAGAGUGUGGCGCCGCUCGUGGAGGGAGCAGCGGCGACGGAGAUGAUGGCAAUCGAGGAUGGGGGUGGUGGCGACGAUACUGGUGGAGGGAGGGGGCUAUUUGAAAAAUGAGCACGGCGAAAGCCCUUAAUUAUAUUAUUAUUAUUAUUAUUAUUAUUAUUAUUAUAUAUAUAUAUAUAUAUAUAUAUAUCGAAGCACACAAAAAAAAAAAAAAAACACCAUGUGAUGUUAGUCAUUUCCCACGUAGGAUUCAUAAUCAGUGCAAGUCCAAGUCGUGUGUUCUGCAGCAUACGUCAAGGAGUCACCAAUGGUGGCCUUCACGACGCUUCUUCUCUCUGGCUCAGUUCACGCAUGACCUUGUCCUUGUCAUUGACUACAGUUUGGAGGAAGAAAUGCAAAAGGGGGCCAAAAGAUCCGACUUGCGAACGAGUGGAGCGAAGGGAAGACGGUGAAAAAGUGGAGCUUUCAUGUAGAUUUAAGGUUCUAUUAUGACACGCAAAGGUGAUCGGCACACGUUUCUCACGAGCAAUGUAAUUUAUAUUAAACUAAUAUAUAUUAUUCUUGUUGGAUUUAACGUAUUGUAUAUAUAUUAGUGGACUAAGUUCUUAGAUUAUUAGAAAAAUCAUAAUCAUGUUAUAUCAUGCCCCCAAAAUAUUAUUUAAUAAGUAGGGGAUAUUUUUA